rnacentral:rRNA from 1 species
UACGUAGGGCGCAAGCGUUAUCCGGAAUUAUUGGGCGUAAAGAGCUCGUAGGCGGUUUGUCGCGUCUGCUGUGAAAGACCGGGGCUCAACCCCGGUUCUGCAGUGGGUACGGGCAGACUAGAGUGAUGUAGGGGAGACUGGAAUUCCUGGUGUAGCGGUGAAAUGCGCAGAUAUCAGGAGGAACACCGAUGGCGAAGGCAGGUCUCUGGGCAUUAACUGACGCUGAGGAGCGAAAAGCAUGGGGGAGCGAACAGG